UAUCUUAUACAUAUUGUAAAAACUAAGAGAGUUAUUCUUGAGAAGAAAAUUGCUUUGAGAAAGUAAUAGUGCAAUACAAAGCCAAGAUAGAAAAUACUAGUACAAAAAAAUUAUUUCUUGUUCUUUUACCUUUGAGUUGAGAUUUUUGAGAAAAAUUUCAACACAAUAUUUUCAUUCAAUUAGUUCACGGGAUUUCAUUGAUCAAAGAGUUGAUAGCAAGGAUCAGUCUCGGUAUGGAUACGCAUAGAGUCUUCGCACUAUCGAAGAAAUUUAAAACGGGACUCUCUUCACCAGGUACGUCUUAGAUCCGAUCUUUGACAUAUAAAUAAAUUUUAAACACGAAAAGUUCUGCCUAGGAUUGUUAUUGUCUUUCGCUGCGUGUUAUGAACACUUAUAUGCAAUCUUGCACUCCGUGCAUCUUGAUGAACAAUUUAGGUUGUUAAUAUACUUGCCUCCACAACUGUUAUCAUUGUUAAGAUGACUUAUCAUGUCCUCCUCUACUUGGAGUUUGGUGUUGUAUCGAUUGUGUAUGUCAUUCUAAGUAGUUGGUGGGAAUUCCUGUAAACUUUUCUUCAAUCUCCUAGUAGCUUCAGAGUUUCUUUCAUUGAGAUUUAUAGUGAAGGCAAUUGCUGCCCAAUUAUGAGGAACUUGAGGUAAUAGCAUUAGCUCUCUAUAGAAUCGACUAAUGAAUUCUCAGAGUACAUCAUUAUAUCCUUGUUAUAUUUUGAAGAUAUCUUCGAUUCAUUUUUCAAAUUUUUGCGCUCUAGCGUGAGCCUUGACAAAGUUUUGGCAAGUUUUGCAAAGGAGCCAAUUGAGGUUUCGGGAAGCAAGAAAUGCCACGAUAAUGAUCUCUUUGUGAAGGUUUCUCCAAGUUUCGUCACGAGUACUGACUCUAUUUUCGAUUUCGUUAAGUUGUUUCCUUUGAUUCUGGUUGUAUAUGCUACGAUGUGAACCCCGAGGAUGUGAUGUCUCGUCAUACUUUGGGAUAUCCGGCAUCUUGAACUUCUUUAUAAUCGGCAACGGAGCUACAUUUUCUUUCCAAGGUUAUUGCGAGUAUUUAUCCAUAUCGAUUCCUUUGAUUACGAGAGGAAUUUUAGUGAUUUGUUCCAUAGUUCGCCUUGCUCGUUGAUAUAUUUUUACAAGGUUAGAACUAGAUUUUAAAAAUCUGAAUUAUUAGGUGUACUUGAACCUUCCAUUCCAGCGUCAUUGGGAGUCCCACAGUGUCAGAAUUGCAAGGCGUGUUAGUAAGAUCAACCCUUGGUGAUGUUGGCGACAUGGCACUUACAGUUGCCGCUAAAUUUAUCAUGGCUUUGUUAAUUUGCUGUCUCUAGGAUCUAUGUGUGCUUUUGAACUCCGCAAUUCGAACAUUUCGGAUGUCUCUCAUGCGGUUCGUUCUGGUGAUAAUUCCCUUGAACAUCAUUGUGGGGAAUUUCUCCGGGAAGACAAUCCAUCAAUUCUUAGAAAUUAGUUACAGUUAUUGUCGUUAUGUCCAGUGGAACCAUCCUCCACUUGGUUCUUCUCAUUAGCAUUAAUGGUCGGCAAAUCUCCGGCCAUGUUGCUAGAUUAAAUUGAUAGCAAAUACAAAAGGAAAAAACUGUUAGUAACUUAGUAUAUUUAGAUGAACAACAAAAUUGCUCUAGCCCCACGGUGGGCGUGGGCGUUAAAUUGUUUGAUCAAAAAUCUAAUUCAAGAGUAAAAUAAUUAAAGUUAUAAUUGAGGACUAAAAGUAACAGAUUCAAUCAAAAUAAUAAUUAGACGUUAAGAUAAAAUAUGAGACAAAAUAAAAAAUUAUAGAGCAAAAAAUAAUAAGGGAGAUGUUGUUUGAUGAUCACUUGAGACUUGAAUGCCUGGAGCUUUAUUAUAUAGAUUUUAUAAGACUGUCAAAAAAUAAGGUUUUUCAUAUAAAUGGUGGUUAGCUUUUAUAGUGAUGAAUCCGGGUUGUCGUUUCUUUGAGUUGUGUUGUCGUUACACUCAUUUAUUCUGGUCAUUUGAAUCAUUUGUAAUAGCUGCUUUAGCACUGAAUCUCGUAACUGUAGUUUUGAUGAUGAAUCUCGGAUACUCUAGUGUCUGUUGAUCUGUUAUCCUUCUUAUUCGCGCACUCCUUAAUCAUUUAUAAAUUCUCUGAAUAUUUGUCUUUCUUUCCGAGUAUUCUAGUUGAUCCCCCAAGGAGUCUUCUGUCUAUCUCCGGUUUUCUUGCUUCUCGGUUUAUACUCUAGUUGGCGUGUAGGAUUACUAAUCAAUUCUUGCCACAUGUCCUCUUCUGAAUGGUACACGCGUUAAGUUUAUUUUUUUACCAAUACAACAACCUCACCCCAACCAUCCCUGAUCUACCCCCACCACCGCACCCUCUGCCCUCGGACCUCGGCAUCCAAAUUUCAAACCCAAGAUGUCAGGUUUUGAGGUUCAUGGUCAAUGUUGGAUUCGCGAUCAGGAGUCAGGGUCGGGUUCGGAAUGGGGGUCAAAGGUCAGUGGCCUAGAUCCCGAUCCUAAUCACGACACCAACUCCUGACCCCGGACCAGUCUCCCACCGUCCAGCUCAUCUCCUACCUUCACCAAUUUCGUGUCCUAUAGUGUUUGUGUAGAUUAUAUAUUUUUCAAAAAAGAAAACAUCCUGCUAACUAAUCAAAUAUCAAAAAAUAAGUAAGAAAAUUAUAUGUUUUUCAAAAAUUAUUUUUUUCACACCAAACACACCCUUAGUGGAAAAUGACUUUCCUAGGGGCCAGGGAAGUUAUUUUCCGGUCCAAGAAAUGAGGCGCUAUACUCCUGCUUCUCAUUCGGUGCUACACUACUCUUUUAAUUGUCUCCCAAUCAUUCCUUACGCGUAUGUAGUUUUUCAGUAAAACUAUGGGCAUGAGACGGAGUAAGGAAUUUUGAAUUUUGAUGAAUUGCAAGUGCAUGGUUCACAAUUGUCCAAGUAGGCAUGGAUGUAUUUUGUUGCUUGUGGUAGAGGGUGUUUGAAUAUACUGAUAUUACGCUUCUCCAAUGUUCUAAUAUUUGCUGCCUAUAACAUUGUUUCUCUUAUAAAAUAAAGACGGGAAAGUAAAUAAUCGAAAACAAGUAUAAAGAAAAAUUGAUAUUUUUAUUCAACUUCAAACUGAUCUAUAUAAUGAACUGAAAACUCAUCUAUUUAUAGAAGAAAGGUAGCAGCUGCGAGGCUUUUAUUGAGUUGCUUGUAAGCUAUUUGCAUGAGCUGCUUGUAACCUGCCUGUUUAAUAAGAAGCUGCUGCAAAAUAUUUCAUUGAGUUGCUUGCAACCUGCCUACAUCACCUGCUUGUAGAUAAACUUCAAUAGAGUACCAAACGGAUAAUCUUUUUCAGGAUGAUUAUCUAUAGCAGAGUAAUAAAAGGACAUCCACAUUAUAAUUAUUUUCAUAAUACUCACCCUUGGAUGUUCAUUAAAAGAUAUUGUGCCUCGUUAAAACCUUACUAAGAAAAACCCAGUGGAAAAAAUUCUAGUGAAGAAAAAAGAGUACACAUGUUUAUUAAUACGCAAUUCUAGCUGCCUCAUUAAAAACCUUACAAGAAAAACCCCAUGGGAAAAACCUUAGUUAAGUAAAAAAAAGUACAAUGCAUAUUUUACUCCCCCUGAUGCAAACCUUGUUUCAAAUAUUUGAGUCUCCGCAUUCUAAUCUUGUAUACCAUUUUCUCAAAAGUUGAAGUUGCCAAAGAUUUAGUGAACAAAUCUGUUGGAUUGUCACUUGAACGGAUUUGUUGUACAUUGAUGUCACUGAAGAUCAUGUGUGUAGAAUAAUUUUGGUAAAAUAUGCUUCGUUUUAUCUUCUUUUAAAAAUCCCCCAUUUAAUUGGGCUAUGCAUGCAGCAUUAUCUUCGUAUAAAAUUGUGGAUAUUUUAUCACAUUCUAAAUCACAUUUUUCUUGAAUAAAAUGAAUCAUUGAUCUCAACUAUACGCAUUCCUUACUUGCUUCAUGAAUAGCUAUUAUAUCAAUAUAAUUUGAAGAAGUAGCAACAAUUGAUUGCUUUGUGGAGUGCCAUGAUGAUAGUACCUCCACAUGUAAACACGUACCCAAUUUGAGAUCGAGUUUUAUGGGGAUCAGAUAAAUAACCAGCAUCUGCAUAACCAACAAGAUAUGCACUACCUUUGUUAGCAUAAAACAAACUCAUUCCAAUGUCUUAGUGUAGGAGAAGAGUUAUAUCUUGCUAGUAAAUUAACAUAAAAUAGUAUGUCAGGCCUUGUAGCAUUAGCAAGAUACAUAAGUGCACCAAUUGUACUGAGAUAGGGUGUUUCACGACCAAAGAGUUUCCUAUCCUCUUCUGGAGGUCAGAACGGGUCCUUAUUCACUUUAAGUGAUCGAACAACCAUUGGUGUACUCAAUGGGUGCGCUUUGUCCAUGUAAAAGUAUUUUAAGACCCUUUCUGUAUAGGCAGAUUGUUGUAUAAAGAUUCCGUCUGCUAAAUGUUCAAUUUGCAGUCCAAGACCAAGUUUUGUCUUUACAAGAUCUUUCAUCUCAAAUUCUUUCUUAAGAUAUUCAAUUGCCUUUUGGAGCUCUUCUGGAGUUCCAACAAGAUUUAAGUCAUCAACAUAAACAACAAAUAUAACAAAUUUUUAUGCCAUUUUCUUUAUAAAAAUACAUGGACAAAUAACAUCAUUUAUGUAACCUUCUUUCAGCAAAUAUGCACUAAGGCGAUUAUAUCACAUGCGCCCAGAUUGAUUUAAACCGUACAAAGAUCUUUGUAAUUUGAUUGAGUACAUUUCACGAUACUUUGAACUAUAUGCUUCAGCCAUUUUAAAUCCUUCAAGGAUCUUCAUAUUGACUUAAUCAAAUGAGUCAUAUAGAUUAUGACUUGCAUUUAGAUGGCAUGACAUCUUCAUAUGUCUGGACUACAGGUCCGAUCCUCACAAUCAUUUAUAAUAUUGUGUACUAUAUUGUAUCAAAUAUGUCGUCAACGAUCAUUUUGUAUCGAUUCCUAAACGACAUAACUUGUUGAGAUCUAAUCACUUUCUAUAUUUUCAGGUACCUGAACUUCUUUUGGAGUUUCAUGAAAUGUUAUGUCAUGGGCUCUUCUAGAGUCCAUCUCCUCACCAUUAUGAUCAUUUUGAUCAUUUGCUCCUAUCAUUUUUCAAGGAUUGUUACCUUUGGAACCGAUUAGUUUACUACGCUUCAUGCGUGCAGUAAACUUUAUCCUUCAGGGACUCAAAUUUUAAUAAGAGCAUUUGCAGCUG
rnacentral:lncRNA from 1 species